rnacentral:rRNA from 1 species
UGGGGAAUUUUGGACAAUGGGGGAAACCCUGAUCCAGCCAUCCCGCGUGUGCGAUGAAGGCCUUCGGGUUGUAAAGCACUUUUGGCAGGAAAGAAACGUCGCGGGUUAAUACCCCGCGAAACUGACGGUACCUGCAGAAUAAGCACCGGCUAACUACGUGCCAGCAGCCGCGGUAAUACGUAGGGUGCAAGCGUUAAUCGGAAUUACUGGGCGUAAAGCGUGCGCAGGCGGUUCGGAAAGAAAGAUGUGAAAUCCCAGAGCUUAACUUUGGAACUGCAUUUUUAACUACCGGGCUAGAGUGUGUCAGAGGGAGGUGGAAUUCCGCGUGUAGCAGUGAAAUGCGUGGAUAUGCGGAGGAACACCGAUGGCGAAGGCAGCCUCCUGGGAUAACACUGACGCUCAUGCACGAAAGCGUGGGGAGCAAACAGGAUUAGAUACCCUGGUAGUCCACGCCCUAAACGAUGUCAACUAGCUGUUGGGGCCUUCGGGCCUUGGUAGCGCAGCUAACGCGUGAAGUUGACCGCCUGGGGAGUACGGUCGCAAGAUUAAAACUCAAAUGAAUUGACGGGGUCGAU